rnacentral:rRNA from 1 species
GACGAACGCUGGCGGCGUGCUUAACACAUGCAAGUCGAACGAUGAAGCCGGAGCUUGCUCUGGUGAAUUAGUGGCGAACGGGUGAGUAACACGUGAGUAACCUGCCCUUGACUCUGGGAUAACGGCGGGAAACUGUAGCUAAUACCGGAUACGACCCUCGGAGGCAUCUCCUGGGGGUGGCAAGAAUUUCGGUCAAGGAUGGACUCGCGGCCUAGCAGCUAGUUGGGGAGGUAAAGGCUCACCAAGGCGACGACGGGUAGCCGGCCUGAGAGGGUGACCGGCCACACUGGGACUGAGACACGGCCCAGACUCCUACGGGAGGCAGCAGUGGGGAAUAUUGCACAAUGGGCGCAAGCCUGAUGCAGCAACGCCGCGUGAGGGAUGACGGCCUUCGGGUUGUAAACCUCUUUUAGCAGGGAAGAAGCGAAAGUGACGGUACCUGCAGAAAAAGCACCGGCUAACUACGUGCCAGCCGCCGCCGUAA